AAGACUAUACUUUCAGGGAUCAUUUCUAUAGUUUGUUACUCUUAGCCAUUUUAAUGGUUUAAGACGACCUUUUUGAGGUGUAAAAUGAACUUCAUAGGAUCUUGUGGGAAAAGUUGAGUAUUAACACUGAUGCUUAGAAACAGUGCAUGGAAGACAGUAGGUGUCCUAGGAACAUGACUUCAUUGAUUAUGAACUUUGAUGCUAU